UCUUAUGAGUGAACAAAGAAAGUAUUUCCUUGAGAAGGAAUCCAUUCCUGGUGAAGAAGCUGUAAA
rnacentral:pre_miRNA from 1 species